UACAGAGGUCCCAAGCGUUGUUCGGAUUCACUGGGCGUAAAGGGUGCGUAGGUGGCGAGGUAAGUCGGAUGUGAAAGCUCGGAGCUCAACUCCGAAAUGGCAUUGGAAACUACCUUGCUCGAGGGUCGGAGGGGGGACUGGAAUACUUGGUGUAGCAGUGAAAUGCGUAGAUAUCGGGAGGAACACCCGUAGCGAAGGCGGUACUCUGGGCCGAAACUGACGCUGAGGAGCGAAAGCGUGGGGAGCGAACAGG
rnacentral:rRNA from 1 species